rnacentral:lncRNA from 1 species
CUAAAUUCAGAACAUGUAUAUGAAAUUUGAAAAAAAAAUUAUACUUCCAAUAUCUAAAGGACUAAAAGCAAUGAAGAAAAAGGAAAAGAAAAGGAGAAGUUUCCAGAUGAGCUGUGAUUAUUUGCUUCAACCAAGAGCGAGAGACCUACUUUUGCAGUAAGGAAAGAGUCAAGCUACUCAAAGCAAAGCCUAAAGUGUGAGGUAUCCAUAUCAGAAACCUUUAAUCAGGCUAAUUCCAAUUCAAAUCUUUAAUCAGGCUUCAAAUUGAUGAGAGAAGCAAAAGUCUAAACUGACUCGAGCUCGAAUAACUUGGCAGUUAUUAAAAAGAUUUCAUUGCAAAGGAUGGUUUAUAAAGCUCAAAAACUUCUCUCUUUGAUUCACGUAUUUUCAUAUUACACAAACAAUGAUUGUCAGACAAUCAAGAAUCAUAUGUGUGUAGACAUUUUGGUGUAUAAUUGAUUUACAUUUCUAAGUACAAAGAAAUGAUGUUUUA